UACGAAGGGUGCAAGCGUUACUCGGAAUUACUGGGCGUAAAGCGUGCGUAGGUGGUUUGUUAAGUCUGUUGUGAAAGCCCCGGGCUCAACCUGGGAAUGGCAAUGGAUACUGGCAAGCUAGAGUGCGGUAGAGGGUAGUGGAAUUCCCGGUGUAGCGGUGAAAUGCGUAGAGAUCGGGAGGAACACCAGUGGCGAAGGCGGCUACCUGGGCCAGCACUGACACUGAGAGACGAAAGCUAGGGGAGCGAAUGGG
rnacentral:rRNA from 1 species